rnacentral:rRNA from 1 species
ACGUACACUCUGCGGGAGGCAGCAGUGGGGAAUAUUGGACAAUGGGCGCAAGCCUGAUCCAGCCAUGCCGCGUGAGUGAUGAAGGCCCUAGGGUUGUAAAGCUCUUUCACCGGUGAAGAUAAUGACGGUAACCGGAGAAGAAGCCCCGGCUAACUUCGUGCCAGCAGCCGCGGUAAUACGAAGGGGGCUAGCGUUGUUCGGAUUUACUGGGCGUAAAGCGCACGUAGGCGGACUAUUAAGUCAGGGGUGAAAUCCCGGGGCUCAACCCCGGAACUGCCUUUGAUACUGGUAGUCUUGAGUUCGAGAGAGGUGAGUGGAAUUCCGAGUGUAGAGGUGAAAUUCGUAGAUAUUCGGAGGAACACCAGUGGCGAAGGCGGCUCACUGGCUCGAUACUGACGCUGAGGUGCGAAAGCGUGGGGAGCAAACAGGAUUAGAAACCCGAGUAGUCCCAUGAU